AGAGUGAACGCUGGCGGCAGGCCUAACACAUGCAAGUCGAGCGGCAGCGCAGCGGUAGCAAUACUGUGGGCGGCGAGCGGCGGACGGGUGAGGAACACAUCGGAAUCUACCCUGUCGUGGGGGACAACGUAGGGAAACCGGGGCUAAUACCGCAUAAUAUCGAGAGAUCAAAGGAGCAAUUCGCUUAAGGAGGGGGUCGCGGCUGAUUAGCUAGUUGGUAGGGUAAUGGCCUACCAAGGCUAUGAUCAGUA
rnacentral:rRNA from 1 species